AAUGAACGCUGGCGGCAGGCCUAACACAUGCAAGUCGAGCGAGCGGCAGACGGGUGUGUAACGUCGGGGAAACAGCCUGAAGGAGGGGGUUACCUACUGGAAACGGUAGCUAAUCCCGCAUAGCAUCAGAUGUGCCAUGAAGGGAUUAGCUAGUAGGUGGGGUAAUGGCUCACCUAGGCGACGAUCCCUAGCUGGUCUGAGAGGAUGAGCAGCCACACUGGAACUGAGACACGGUCCAGACUCCUACGGGAGGCAGCAUUGGGGAAUAUUGCACAAUGGGCGCAAGCCUGAUGCAGCCAUGCCGCGUGUGUGAAGAAGGCCUUCGGGUCGUAAAGCUCUUUCAUCGAGGAGGCGUUACUCACUCAAGAAGCAACGGCUAACUCCGUGCCAGCAGCCGCGGUAAUUC
rnacentral:rRNA from 1 species